ACUCAAAUGAAUUGACGGGGGCCCGCACAAGCGGUGGAGCAUGUGGUUCAAUUCGACGCAACGCGAAGAACCUUACCUGGGUUUGAACUGCAGGAGACAGACUUGGAAACAGGUCCUUUCCUCUGGAACUCCUGUAGAGGUGCUGCAUGGCUGUCGUCAGCUCGUGUCGUGAGAUGUUGGGUUAAGUCCCGCAACGAGCGCAACCCUUGCCCUUAGUUGCCAGCGGAUAAUGCCGGGCACUCUAAGGGGACUGCCUCGGAAAACGGGGAGGAAGGUGGGGAUGAUGUCAAGUCAUCAUGGCCUUUAUGCCCAGGGCUACACACGUGCUACAAUGGGCGGUACAAAGGGCUGCGAACCCGCGAGGGGGAGCCAAUCCCAUAAAACCGUCCUCAGUUCGGAUUGCAAUCUGCAACUCGAUUGCAUGAAGGUGGAAUCGCUAGUAAUCGCGGAUCAGCACGCCGCGGUGAAUACGUUCCCGGGCCUUGUACACACCGCCCGU
rnacentral:rRNA from 1 species